CUAGCCUCUGGGACAAAAAAAUCAAAUUUCUUAUGUUUAUUCAAAUAUUCUUAGACAUAUAUUAUUUUAAGCAGUAAAUUUUGUGUGAUUGGAAAUAUUUUCAUUAUUUUUAUUGUUUAGCACAAUUUUUUUGUUUAUAGCGUCACUUUUGGAGGAAGGUUUCCAUGCUGCCUUUUCAAUAGUAAAAAAAAGUUGCUUGAGCCUGAAUUUGUACUCAAGCCUCCACAACAGAAGGCAGAGUUGUUGCUACUGAAAUAUUCAAGUACUAGGUAGUUAUUAAAAUAGAAGUUUUUUUUGAAACAUUCUUAGACAUAUACUAUUAUAAGCAUAGUAUAAAAAAUAUUCAUUUAUUAGAAUUUUCAAAAAUUUCCUUUACAAAUUCAUGUUUUACAUAGAUCCAUAUGUUAAUCUAACUAUUCUGAAAUAGAGAUGCGUAUUAUUUUUUUUUUUUCAGGCAACCUGUUUUACUCUUACAAUAUUUACUUCAUAGAUCAAUUUCUCCUCUUUUCAUAAUAACAGAGUGACAAUGAAUUAAAAUCACAAGACAUUAAAUCUGGUAAAUCCUGUGCUGACCCUUAUAGAGUCUAGUCUAGCGUGAUCUCCGUGACCAUUUAUCAAAGGUGCCAAGUCUAGUGUACACUAGUGACAUAGGUAGAAUGUUAAGAUGAACACACAGAGACAGGUCAGCCCCAUGGUGUGUGUUGAACUGUGUCCAAAGCAGAAAUGAGAGACAGAUUUAUGUUUCCUGUUUGAUGCUUGACUCUGGAUAAUUAUUUUAGUUAACAGAUUCAUUUGUCGUGAAGCUUGAAUGUCAGCAUUUUAAAAUACAAGGAAAGGAGAUGAAACAUCAACAAAGGUGAAACAAAACAAGAAGGAGAAAAAAAAAAGCCCAAUAAAGAAGGACCAAUAAUUUAGACAACAAUUAUGGAAAAGAAUAGGCUAUUAAAGAAAUGGGGACAUAAAAAACAAAAGACCUAGAUUAGAAAUCAGUCAGAAAGAGAUGCUAACAUGCAUUAAAGAAGAGAGUGAGCUGUGAAAACAAGGUACCUCAUCCUAUGGAUCAUUCUGCCAGCAAAAGACUGACUUUUGGUUUGGAGGAUGUUUGCCAGCAACUAAAACCUUACUGUAGCGCACUUGUACAACCACCCCGAAGCAACAGAGCUAGAGGCGGUUUGUGACAUUUGUCUCUAGCAUCACUACUUCUGUGAAUGAUUAUUUUAAGACCAAUAGUUGUAAAAACAUAGUUUGGUAUAAAUAAAAUAACCCAGAAAUUUGAA